GUAGUCGCGCUUAAAUAAGCGAGGAAAGUCCGAGCUGCAUUAGGGCAGGGCUACAUCUAAUGGAUGUCAGGAGCGAUCCUAGGGAUAGUGCAACAGAAAGCAAACCGCCAGCGCAUCGCGCUUGGCAAGGGUGAAACGGCGAGGUAAGAGCUCACCAGCACGCAAGCCAGAACAAGCGGCGUGGCUAUGCAAACCCAGCUCGCAGCAAGAAGCGGUGGUAAAGCCCUAAAAUAUACGCUUUGCUAGACUUUAAUGGCGACAUUAAAGCAAGAUAAAUGACUACAUAAACAAAACUCGGCUUAUAGCCA
rnacentral:RNase_P_RNA from 1 species